UUUACUCUACUGUUCAGUUUUAAUAACAUUUUCUCAGAUGAACUGACCUUUUGUUAUUAAGUUACUUAAAUAUAGUUCCUAUUGCAGCUGAGUAAGGAAACCUUCCCUGGGAAAAAACCUGCAAAUUGCCUGCUCUGUUUGGCCAGACAGCUGGUGAAUGCUGCUCAGCACAGCACAGCACAGCUGGGAGCCAGCCCCACCGCUGGGCUUGGAGGGUGUGAAUAGCGAGGGGCUGUGCGGGAGGGAGAUGGGUGACACUGUGGCAAACAAAAGAACUUCAUCACAGGCAGAGAAGCUGGAACCACCAUGACAAGGGGAAAUGCAGCAUUGCAAGAUCCAUAAGAUUAAAACCUCCUUAAUUCCUUUGUUGGAAGAACUUGAUACUUUUUAAGUUAAAAGUUAUAUAUCAAAUUUAAGGCACGGUGGUGGUUUGUAGGAAGCUAUCCAUUAUGGUUAAACACAGGCUCAUGUUCUUCUGAACCCUGAAAUCGGAUCAGAAACUUUGCUGGAAUUCUGUGGAUGCACAGUUAUGUUUUUGGUGAGUUUGUAUUUGACCUGGGACCAGUACACUCAUUCCAAGCUGAUUAGUAUGCGGUGUGCUCCAAUUGUUUCUUUCAUAUACACUUAAUUCACAAGGACAUUUAUAUGCUGCAUCAGUACUUAAAACCUAAACACCCCUUUCUGUCAGUAGUAUAAAAACAUGUAUGACUGAGUGACUGAUAGAUAAUUUCUGGUGGUGAAAUAAUAGUUAUUAAAUAGCAUCAGAUUGUAUAUUUUCAUUUUUGAAGUCCUUUUCUUAAAGAUCUGAUAGUUCUCCAGCCAACCUUCAGAAGACCUAUGCAAAGCCAGGGAAGUCCCUUUGGAGACCUGCAAGGUUCAAGUCCGGCAGAAGGAUCUACCCUCCCCGUGGCAACAAGUAAUUUUUCAAGGUUAUUUUUCCUGAGGAGUUCAUUAGUUGGCUUCGACUGGAUAAAAAGAAGAUUCUUCCAUUUUUAUUAGAACUCAAGAUAUGACAGCUGGGUCUCACCUCAAAGAAGAAAACUAAAAUUAAAAAAAAAAAAAAAAAAAGACACAACAUUCCUUAAUGUGUACUACUAUUUCUAACACUGUGGAAAAUCUUGCUGCCUUGUACAGUUGUAUUGUUCUGAAACGAAAGUGCAAGAUCAGAAAGUCUGUUUUUUCAGACUGUGGAAUAAUUUAUAUUCUAUGGUCCACAUCCCCAAACACCAGUUAUGGCAUGAUCUCCACUGACAGAACUGAGCCUAUGGAUGGCCAAUGUUCCCAUGCUGCCACUCCUCCUUGCAGUCAUUUGAUAUCACAACUUCUGGAUGCAGUUGGUGCUUAAGAUACGAGAGGGAACCACAGUCUAAGUGGAUGGGUAAAAUCAGAAUGGCCAAAUACCUAGGAAAGGUUUAACUUGGCUUUGACAGAUGUAAACUGCUUGACUUUUUAUGCAGGGAGUUGCAGGUUGCAGAAUGUUGGCUAUUGAUAUUACAGGAUUGCACAGCAGCUUUCUUUGGAAGUAACAGUGAUUUUUUUUCAGAAGAGGGGAGAUGAACCUCCUUGUUAAGGUGAUGAUAACAGUAAAGGGAGCCUAAGAUAUGAGGCUACUACACUGCUACUUUUUAGGCAGCUGAAAUUAAAUUUUUUCUGUCAUGCUAAAAGUAAAAUAAUAAAAAUAGAGACUAAAAGAUAUUCAUUAUCCUCAUAUUUUUCUUUUGAAACAGUACCUUAUUUAAUCUUAUUGCUCUAAAAUAAAAGAAUGCAAAAAAUAUUUUUUUUCUUUAAAAAUUAUUCUUCUUAUUAAGAAUGGCUGUAUUCUAAAACUGAAUUAGCUUACAUCAGUUUUCAGAUCCUGUUAGAAUCUGUCUGUUAAAGGGCUAUGAUUCAACAGACACAUUUCUGUCACAUGUAUAUAUAUCUGAUGUUUUAUAAACUUCCUCAAUUUAAACUUCACAAUCCUUAUAUCAGAGGCACCACACUCAGACUACGUUGGUAUGCUCAUGGGUCCUGUAGUUGUAACUUUCUGGAGUUUUUUUAAACAAAAGCCCUGGGGAGAUCUUUUAAGCCUAAACUGUUUUUGUACUGUUUCCUAAAAAAAUUAAUCAUUCUUCUACUAAAAUAAAUACAAUAUAAACACAGUUAAGGGCACAGCUCGGAAAACAACUUUGAAUGGGAAACGGUAAAAUAGUCUAAUUUUACUGUGUUUAAAAGCAAACAUUUUUGUGUAGCUUAUUUUAAUGGUUUUUGUAUUUGUUUAUUUUUGUAAUUGGAAAGUAGUUCUUCCUAAAGGUGGAUGGUUUCAUUACGCUUCCUUGAAUAGCAUGAAUAAUUUGAUUUCAUGCAAUAUUUAGCAACAUAUGUUGCUAAAAAUAAUCACGAUAAAGCUACAACUAUUUAUCUAUAUUUUGGAAGUGAGAAAGUUGUACAUAUAGAUAUGUACAUGAAAAAGGGGUUUGCAUAGUAAUGAAUAAAGUUAGUGUGCUUUAGGUUA